rnacentral:lncRNA from 1 species
AGAGUCUUUUGUAUUGAAAGGAUAUAUGAAAGGAACCCAAAGCUCACACUUAAAGUGGAAGGACAGAAAGCGUGAAGGAUAAUUCCUGGAGUUUGCAGCUGAACAGAAUCAAUGUUCAAUUUGAAGUACAUGUGUGAUGUCAAAAAAGAUGUCAAGGAAGCACUUGGAUAGAGAAUUGGAGCAUGGAGGUAUGCACAGUGCUAGUGUGGAAGAGACAGACAACUUAGCCUGUACUGAC